rnacentral:rRNA from 1 species
AUUGAACGCUGGCGGCAUGCCUUACACAUGCAAGUCGAACGGUAACGCGGGGCAACCUGGCGACGAGUGGCGAACGGGUGAGUAACGCAUCGGAACGUGCCCAACAGUGGGGGAUAGCCCGGCGAAAGCCGGAUUAAUACCGCAUACGACCCAAGGGUGAAAGCGGGGGAUCGCAAGACCUCGCGCUGAUGGAGCGGCCGAUGUCAGAUUAGGUAGUUGGUGGGGUAAAAGCCUACCAAGCCGACGAUCUGUAGCUGGUCUGAGAGGACGACCGGCCACACUGGGAAUGAGACACGGCCCAGACUCCGACGGGAGGCAGCAGUGGGGAAUUUUGGACAAUGGGGGCAACCCUGAUCCAGCCAUGCCGCGUGCGGGAAGAAGGCCUUCGGGUUGUAAACCGCUUUUGUCGGGGAAGAAAUCCCUCGGGCUAAUACCUCGGGGGGAUGACGGUACCCGAAGAAUAAGCACCGGCUAACUACGUGCCAGCCGCCGCCGUAACAC